CUUACCAAGGCGACGAUGUUUAGGGGUCCUGAGAGGGUGAUCCCCCACACUGGUACUGAGACACGGACCAGACUCCUACGGGAGGCAGCAGUGAGGAAUAUUGGUCAAUGGGCGCAAGCCUGAACCAGCCAUCCCGCGUGAAGGAAGAAGGCGCUAUGCGUUGUAAACUUCUUUUCCAGGGGAAGAAAAUUCUGCACGUGUGCGGAACUGCCGGUACCCUGGGAAUAAGCAUCGGCUAACUCCGUGCCAGCAGCCGCGGUAAUACGGAGGAUGCGAGCGUUAUCCGGAUUUAUUGGGUUUAAAGGGUGCGUAGGCGGAUUAAUAAGUCAGUGGUGAAAACCUUCAGCUUAACUGGAGACUUGCCAUUGAUACUGUUAGUCUUGAGUACGGUCAAGGUAGGCGGAAUGUGUAAUGUAGCGGUGAAAUGCUUAGAUAUUACACAGAACACCGAUUGCGAAGGCAGCUUACUGGGCCAUUACUGACGCUGAUGCACGAAAGCGUGGGGAGCGAACAGGAUUAGAUACCCUGGUAGU
rnacentral:rRNA from 1 species